rnacentral:rRNA from 1 species
UACGAAGGGUGCAAGCGUUAAUCGGAAUUACUGGGCGUAAAGCGUGCGUAGGCGGUUUGUUAAGUCUGUUGUGAAAUCCCCGGGCUCAACCUGGGAAUGGCAAUGGAUACUGGCAGGCUAGAGUGUGUCAGAGGAUGGUGGAAUUCCCGGUGUAGCGGUGAAAUGCGUAGAGAUCGGGAGGAACAUCAGUGGCGAAGGCGGCCAUCUGGGACAACACUGACGCUGAGGAGCGAAAGCGUGGGGAGCGAACAGG